rnacentral:rRNA from 1 species
UACGUAGGGUGCGAGCGUUGUCCGGAAUUAUUGGGCGUAAAGGGCUCGUAGGCGGUUUGUCGCGUCGGGAGUGAAAUCCACUGGCUUAACUGGUGGCUUGCUUUCGAUACGGGCAGACUGGAGGUAUGCAGGGGAGAACGGAAUUCCUGGUGUAGCGGUGAAAUGCGCAGAUAUCAGGAGGAACACCAAUGGCGAAGGCAGCUCUCUGGGACGGUACUGACGCUGAGACGCGAAAGCGUGGGGAGCGAACAGG